rnacentral:rRNA from 1 species
UACAGAGGGUGCGAACGUUGCUCGGAAUUACUGGGCGUAAAGCGCGUGUAGGCGGACGGGUAAGUCAGAUGUGAAAUCCCCGAGCUCAACUCGGGAACUGCAUUUGAAACUGCUUGUCUGGAGUACCGGAGAGGGUGGCGGAAUUCCUGGUGUAGAGGUGAAAUUCGUAGAUAUCAGGAGGAACACCGGUGGCGAAGGCGGCCACCUGGACGGUUACUGACGCUGAGACGCGAAAGCGUGGGGAGCAAAC